UAAUUAAUUUACAAUUGCAGAAAACCUGAUUCAUGUUCUUGCUGCAGAAAACCACUGUCCUCUGCUACACUCAUCAGCUUCAAAUUUACACAAAUAUUAUGAUGUAAUAUUCUGAUUUAUUUUGAUGAUUGAUGAAAAAUUUUCAUGGAUCCUUGGGUGAAUCAAGAGGAAGGAACAGAAGAAUCCAAAAGAUUUAGCCACAGCCAUGUGGUGGGAAGGCAUCCAUGUGCAUGAUGCAGCACGAACAAGCUUUUCAAGCUUGUUUAUGUUGAAGAAUUAAUCGCCAUGAAGAUCCUGUUCCAGUGCCCUUGCUGUUCCUGCUUCUGCUUCUUGGACAGAGACAGAGAAACAGAGGAGGAGGAUCGAUGAGGAGGAGAAGGAAGAUCGAAAUGAUCGAGUGAGUUGCUGGCGUUUCUUCUUCUUCCUCUUCUUCAUCUCCUCACCUCAACUCUCGCGUUCAUCUGUAAAAUGGUUGCAAAUUAAAUAAAGUUUGAAUUGUUAAGA